AACGAACGCUGGCGGCAUGCCUAACACAUGCAAGUCGAACGAGACCUUCGGGUCUAGUGGCGCACGGGUGCGUAACGCGUGGGAACCUGCCCUUAGGUUCGGAAUAACUCCCCGAAAGGGGUGCUAAUACCGGAUAAUGUCUUCGGACCAAAGAUUUAUCGCCUUUGGAUGGGCCCGCGUUGGAUUAGCUAGUUGGUAGGGUAAAAGCCUACCAAGGCGACGAUCCAUAGCUGGUCUGAGAGGAUGAUCAGCCACACUGGGACUGAGACACGGCCCAGACUCCUACGGGAGGCAGCAGUGGGGAAUAUUGGACAAUGGGCGAAAGCCUGAUCCAGCAAUGCCGCGUGAGUGUUGAAGGCCUUAGGGUUGUAAAGCUCUUUUACCCGGGAUGAUAAUGACAGUACCGGGAGAAUAAGCUCCGGCUAACUCCGUG
rnacentral:rRNA from 1 species